rnacentral:rRNA from 1 species
UACGGAGGAUGCAGGCGUUAUCCGGAAUGAUUGGGCGUAAAGCGUCCGCAGGUGGCUGUGUAAGUCUGCUGUUAAAGAGUGAGGCUCAACCUCAUAAAGGCAGUGGAAACUACAUGGCUAGAGUGCGUUCGGGGCAGAGGGAAUUCCUGGUGUAGCGGUGAAAUGCGUAGAGAUCAGGAAGAACACCGGUGGCGAAAGCGCCUUGCUGGGUCUGCACUGACACUGAGGGACGAAAGCUAGGGGAGCGAAAGGG